rnacentral:lncRNA from 1 species
AGAAAUUGUAAGAAGUGUUUCUCAAAUGUGUCUGAUGCUUUCUCUCCUGCAGUAAGAUUAUGGUGAACAAUUUCUAGAAAACCAUAUUCAGAUGGUUCAUAACAAUCAGAGUGUACCACCUCACAUUGUAAAAGAGUUCAAAAUGAUUUUUAGGAAAAGAAAGAAGAAAAAAAGAACCAAGCCUCAAACUGAUACUGCUUCAUUAUUGCCUUUUUGUUGAU